rnacentral:rRNA from 1 species
UACGGGGGGAGCAAGCGUUGUUCGGAUUUACUGGGCGUAAAGGGCGCGUAGGCGGUCGUGACAAGUCACUUGUGAAAUCUCCGGGCUUAACUCGGAACGGUCAAGUGAUACUGUCGGACUAGAGUACAGAAGGGGCAACUGGAAUUCUCGGUGUAGCGGUGAAAUGCGUAGAUAUCGAGAGGAACACCCGCGGCGAAGGCGGGUUGCUGGGCUGAUACUGACGCUGAGGCGCGAAAGCGUGGGGAGCAAACAGG